GACGAACGCUGGCGGCGUGCUUAACACAUGCAAGUCGAACGGAAAGGCCCUGCUUUUGUGGGGUGCUCGAGUGGCGAACGGGUGAGUAACACGUGAGUAACCUGCCCUUGACUUUGGGAUAACUUCAGGAAACUGGGGCUAAUACCGGAUAGGAGCUCCUGCUGCAUGGUGGGGGUUGGAAAGUUUCGGCGGUUGGGGAUGGACUCGCGGCUUAUCAGCUUGUUGGUGGGGUAGUGGCUUACCAAGGCUUUGACGGGUAGCCGGCCUGAGAGGGUGACCGGCCACAUGGGGACUGAGAGACGGCCCAGACUCGUACGUGAGGCAGCAGGGGGGAAUAUGGCGCAAUGGGCGGAAGCCUGAGGCAGCAACGCCGCGUGCGGGAUGACGGCCUUCGGGUUGUAAACCGCUUUGGCCUGUGACGAAGCGUGAGUGACGGUAAUGGGUAAAGAAGCACCGGCUAACUACGUG
rnacentral:rRNA from 1 species